rnacentral:rRNA from 1 species
CCCUACGGGAGGCAGCAGUGAGGAAUAUUGGUCAAUGGGCGCGAGCCUGAACCAGCCAAGUCGCGUGAGGGAAGACGGUCCUAUGGAUUGUAAACCUCUUUUGUCGGGGAGCAAAAGACGCCACGCGUGGCGUUCCGAGAGUACCCGAAGAAAAAGCAUCGGCUAACUCCGUGCCAGCAGCCGCGGUAAUACGGAGGAUGCGAGCGUUAUCCGGAUUUAUUGGGUUUAAAGGGUGCGUAGGCGGUUUGAUAAGUUAGAGGUGAAAUGUCGGGGCUCAACCCCGAAACUGCCUCUAAUACUGUUGG